rnacentral:lncRNA from 1 species
GUAGUGAUGUAAGAAAUCCUUUGACCUGUGGUGUUAUGAUUAUUCAUAGCGAGGUUACUGAAUUUGACUGUACAUUUCCUUGGUCCCUAGCCAUUCGGAUCUUUGCUGUGUAUGUUGGCUUCAAUAGAUUCAGGUUUGCUGUUUGGAGUAAGAUGUACUUAGAUAGGAUCUAUCGAUCUUGGUAGAAAAAGAGAAGUCCUAUGUG